rnacentral:rRNA from 1 species
UACGUAGGGUGCGAGCGUUAAUCGGAAUUACUGGGCGUAAAGCGUGCGUAGGCGGUUCGUUAAGUUCGUUGUGAAAGCCCCGGGCUCAACCUGGGAACUGCAAUGGAAACUGGCGGGCUUGAGUGUGGCAGAGGGGGGUGGAAUUCCGCGUGUAGCAGUGAAAUGCGUAGAUAUCUGGAGGAACACCGGUGGCGAAGGCGGCAUCCUGGACCGGUAUUGACGCUGAUGCGCGAAAGCUAGGGGAGCAAACAGGG